AUUGAACGCUGGCGGCAGGCCUAACACAUGCAAGUCGAGCGGAUGACGGGAGCUUGCUCCCUGAUUCAGCGGCGGACGGGUGAGUAAUGCCUAGGAAUCUGCCUGGUAGUGGGGGACAACGUUUCGAAAGGAACGCUAAUACCGCAUACAUCCUACGGGAGAAAGCAGGGGACCUUCGGGCCUUGCGCUAUCAGAUGAGCCUAGGUCGGAUUAGCUAGUUGGUGAGGUAAUGGCUCACCAAGGCGACGAUCCGUAACUGGUCUGAGAGGAUGAUCAGUCACACUGGAACUGAGACACGGUCCAGACUCCUACGGGAGGCAGCAGUGGGGAAUAUUGGACAAUGGGCGAAAGCCUGAUCCAGCCAUGCCGCGUGUGUGAAGAAGGUCUUCGGAUUGUAAAGCACUUUAAGUUGGGAGGAAGGGCAGUAAGUUAAUACCUUGCUGUUUUGACGUUACCGACAGAAUAAGCACCGGCUAACUCUGUGCCAGCCGCCGCAGUAAGAC
rnacentral:rRNA from 1 species